AGAGGUCAAAAGUCCGUCUGACUCACCUGUGCUAAGUGACUUGAAUGCCAUCUAAUCUAACUUCAAGUGUAAGAAUUCUGGACCCUUAUUUGAAGUCUCUCCUGCUUUGUUGGGCAAAAGUAAUGAGAAACUCCACUUGGCUUCAGAAUGCAGUGUCAACUCCACAUGAAUCAAAGCAAUAAAAAAGAAUCAACUCAGAGCAGGCUGAGCUAUGUGAGAUACGGAAGCAAAGAGAUGAGACAGAGACAUGGGGCCAAGUCAUCAGAAAGAGUUAUACUUGCCACCCCAGAUCUUUCUGCCCUGCUUUCUGGUAAACUGAGGAUCAUCAGGAUACUUGCCAACAAGGUCACAGUGGACUCCAUGGAGCAACUGCCCUCCGGAGGCAACAGAUUCUUUUUGAGGGGAGUCUCUCUGAUGCUUGGAAUGAAUCCUGCUGAAUCAAUGCUGAUGCUUGGAGAUCUUCAAGUCUUUUCCCUUUUUCCCAUUGCUCAUGAUGUCUAUAUAACCUGCAAACAUGCAUCCCACUCCUCUGCCGAAAGACCAUUUUUUUAUAUCUUCAGUGAUGGUUAGGCCAGGUUAAUUGCCUUUUCUUUUUUCUUAAGCCAACUAAAGUCCUCACCACAAAUUAAUGUUAUGUUUUGACUGACUCAUUGGGCCUGAACAAUAAUGUUAUUUCUCACAGUGCACUAAAAAGGGAGUAGAAAGGGAAAGGUGGAUGUAUUUCUUAAUUUUCUGUAAUCUAAGUACUGAAAUCUCACUUUUACAACAAAGGCAGCUUUGAUAUAACUUUUGGAAACAAGCUUUCUGCUCAGCUGGUUGUGAAAUCUCAUUGGUUGGAGAGAAUUCAAGUGCAUGUCAGUGAGCACAGGUGCUGGAAGUUGUAGGUAAGGAGUCAGGAGUGCAGUCUCCAGGUGCAGAAAAAAGAUUUUCCUGGAGACCCCCAGCUCUAAAUGUAGUUGCUCAAAAGGUGGACUUUGCUAUUCACUUAUGUGAAGCCCUUUGAAAAUCUGACAUUUCUAUGGGCCUGUUAGUGGCGAGCCAGGGGGGCUUGCCAGCUUAGAGGUUAAUUGUGCUAAUUAACAGAAAGGACAGAGGCUUCAGAAAGUGCCUCUGUGGACCGAAAAAUUUUCCCAAUAUUUCAUUAGGGUGACUUUGAAAAGGUUGCAGGCAAAUGGCACCUUUCACUUUAAAAAUCUAAACCAUGGCUUUUUAACCAUUUUU
rnacentral:lncRNA from 1 species